GACGAACGCUGGCGGCGUGCUUAACACAUGCAAGUCGAGCGGAAAGGCCCUUCGGGGUACUCGAGCGGCGAACGGGUGAGUAACACGUGAGUAACCUGCCCCAGAUUUUGGGAUAACCCUCGGAAACGGGGGCUAAUACCGGAUACGACACAGCUUCGCAUGGGGUCUGUGUGGAAAGUUUUGCGGUUUGGGAUGGGCUCGCGGCCUAUCAGCUUGUUGGUGGGGUGAUGGCCUACAAAGGCGACGAUGGGUAGCCGGCCUGAGAGGGGGACCGGCCACACUGGGACUGAGACACGGCCCAGACUCCUACGGGAGGCAGCAGUGGGGAAUAUUGCACAAUGGGCGGAAGCCUGAUGCAGCGACGCCGCGUGAGGGAUGACGGCCUUCGGGUUGUAAACCUCUUUCAGCAGGGACGAAGCGUAAGUGACGGUACCUGCAGAAGAAGCGCCGGCCAACUACGUG
rnacentral:rRNA from 1 species